rnacentral:misc_RNA from 1 species
GGUGUGUAUAACAUGCAGGCAACCCAAUCGGGUGGUUUGAGAAUUAUUCCCCUCUUCAAGCACAGAUUGGCAGAAGCAACAUGUUGGAGGCCAAUCAUACUCUCCAUCUAUUACCCACUCAGAGUAAGUACGAACCACACAUAUCUGAUGCUCCGUGAAGCAGAUACAUUCUCCACAAACAGGAACCUUAUGAACGAAACAAUAUAGUUUGGUAGCCUUACGGCAUUUGCAGACCACCAUUGCAGAGAGAAAUCGUGAAGCUAGAGACUUAAGUUGUUGUAGUCUAUAGAGCUAGAAAUGGAUUUUCC